GGUGACAGUGAUGAGUUGCACUAUUAGCCAGGUCGCUGUUUGCAGUGGCACGGCAGGCCUGUCCUGACACGAUGUGUUGACACCCAUUGUGCACAGGGGCCAUCUGAGUCGCC
rnacentral:snoRNA from 1 species